rnacentral:lncRNA from 1 species
GCGGUGAUGUUGAUUUUUUUUUUUUUUCAUUCCAAAUAAAGUUCACAUUUUAAUACAACAACUGGCGGAUAAAAGGUAGUCCCCAGACACUAGAGCCCACAUGAUGGCGGCGACUUAAACCCACUCCGGGGUACCUUACUGCAAUACAACAACUGAGUAAAACCAGAAGAAAAACUAGAUACUCAACUUUCAACUACCUAAAGGACGUAACAAGUUGACUUAGCAAAAUUUAGAACUAAGAAUAGGUCAGUGAACGAGAAUUGUUUAUCGCUGCUGCCAAUAGCCCGCCACACAAGAAACUCCACUUCCUACACCCCAACACCACGACUUACCGCUGCUGCUCAUGCCCGCCAUACGAUAACGCCCAAGAAACCAAGACUCUACGACUUCAUAAUCCGACAGAACGAACCUCUACCCGGUUCACACAAUCUUCGGAUACGGAUGUGACGCUUUUAGCGCCCACUAACUCCUAGAUAUAAGCCCGAACAAACUCCAUAAAGAUGAAGCCUUGCCAAUCGAAAAUUCCAACCGAAACGGCAAGCGACCACUGCAACCUCCUCCAUUUGAAAUAAACCUGCUAAGUCAACUCUCACAAAACCUUACUUAAACACCACUUUUUUGGUUAACGGGACGCCAAAAGUCAAUAAACGUCAACGGACUGAAACCGGAAGGCAAGGGAUCCAAGGAUACCACUGCUCCAAACACCAUAGACGAACUAAAACGUCAUCAGCUCUGCUUACCCGUCACAGAAACAACCGGACUGCUCAUCAGACUCAUCCCACUCAUGAAGAAUGUGAUGCUAUCUAAACAUUUUAUUUAUGUAGUUACGUCGCGUUUCGUCCUAUAACGUAUCAAGAGACCAUGAUUUAUAUAGAACGUACGUGAGUUCUCCUAAUAUAUCGUCAGAAAUAAUUAUUAUCAUACGCCAACUGAUCAGCGAUAUGAUUAAAAUGGAGACCAAUUCGUUGUUUAUUCCUAAUACCCUGAGUUUUUAUAUAUCCGGAGUCUGGAAAUGAACAUAUAUAACCUAGAUCUGUAAAUGUCAUGAUAUAAGCAUCAUCUGUACUAUAUGAGGCGUAUUGGUUGAUUCAGUGUUUGUUUUAGUAAACUUGAGGUUGAACAGAACAGAGCUCUCAUGAAGAAGAUGAAGUUGAGAAGAUUUGGAAAUGAAUGAAUAGUUUCUGUUAAUUGUAAAGUAACGAGAUACAAGUGUUUAUAUACAAACCAUAAACUAUCCGCCGGUACAAGCCGGUUUCAACUAAACCACUAUCUAAAUGUGUAAACCACAUCACCAUGCCUUAAUAGUUUGUUUUCAUAACAUAUUGAUUAAAAAUCAUUGAUAUUAUGAAGAACAAAUGAUAAAUCUAAACUAAUGCAUGGUGGUCUGUGGACUGUGGUAACUGAAUAAUUUACUAUGAUUUGAGUAACGAUGGUUCAAGCGUUUCCACUUUACGAUUACAAUUGUGACCGACAUCUUUAAACAUUUUAAACAGUAUAAAAUUUUAACAUUUUUACAAAAAAAAAAACAUUUUAAGCAAUAUAUAUAUAUAUACAUGCAUAUAUAUGCAAGUUUGGAGAUUUAUCUGGACUCUGGUUCAUGAACUUUCAGUUAGUAAUUAACGAUGAAUCUAACUGAUAGAUACUCUGAACAACAUAACGACUGAAAAUAUGCUUAACUGAGAAACAAUAUAGUGAAAAAGAAAAAAAGAAAUUUAUAAAGCUUGGCAAAAUCCAACAAAAAAAUAUCUCAUCCCAUCCAUAUAUAUAUUUUUAAUUCUCAUCUCAUCUAGAUUUUUUCUGUCUGAAACUAACAUUAUUAUCUUUUGUCAAACAACAGAUAGCGCAAAACCUCAAUAUUUAUGAACAUAGUAUACCAUCAAAUACAACGCCAUACCUAAUAAUCAUUAUGAUUACGUAUUCACUUAUGUAAGUGGUAGAUAUUAGGAUUAGUAUUAGUAGCAACAUGCGCGUCUCACUAGACCACAAAACUCUUUCUUAGUAAUUAAGUCCCAAAUUGUGAAGUAAUUAUGGGAUUCUACCUUAACUUCCACUAACCAACUUUUAAAAUUGUAAGCAAAGCUUUUUGUUCAAAAUAUCAUUGUAUGUGAAAUAAGAACAUGAUUAAUCUCGUUUUCUUAUUUAAAAUUUUUAACUCACAAUUUAACUUUUUUUUUUACAUUUUCCGGUUAAGAAACUUCUCUUUUUCUUAAUUAAAAGUUAAGAAUCAUUUUUUUGCCGAAAUUAAGAACUUAGUUAAGAGAUCGGUUUAAUCAUGACCUAAUAUUUUAAGCGCAAGAAAACAAAAAGAAACGACAAGGCAUUUGGCUGACAUAAGCAACGUAAAAUCUUGUAGUAACAAUCAGCAAAAUUUAGUGGACCAGUCUAUUUGUCUACUCUUGGCUGCGGUUGAUUAAGGACCCACAUUAGAAAAUAUAAAGAUGAUGGGGUCCAAAUGGCAUAAUAAUAAAGUUGAUGACUCGAUAAUUUUUAUUUUAAAAAAAUUGAAGAGAGGUGACAUUUCUCGUCCAAGUAAUUGAUACUGUAAUGGUUAAUGGAGUCAGAAUCAUCCAACAAAAAAGUUAGGUUAUGAUGAUGGUUCUACGUUGUUACAUUUCUUUCAAAAAUCCUAACUAUUUAGGUCUGACCUAGGCCGGGGAGUUUCUAGUGAUGUUUAUUUAGAUUAUAAAUGAACCCAUUCAUAUAUGGAUCUAACGCAAUAAUUCAUUUAUUUGAAUUCAUAUAAACUGGGAUGAAAAAAAAACUGACAACGUCGAACGGUCGAAGACACAGUAUUUUCAAUUAAUACGUACAUCUUAAAUACAAAUUGAUUUUUAAAUAGGUUAAGAACUCUGAACAUUGGGUCAAAUUGAGUGACCAACUGACCAUACAUCUUAAAUGAUGAAAGCAAUUUAUAUAAAAAAUAUCUCUGGAUUUAAAACUGUAUAAUUUGUUCGGCCACGCCAAGAACGAAAUCAAUUAAUUUAUCAACAGAGUAAACAUGUAUUCUAUUGACUAUUGUAAUGGAAAUAUUUUUGGUUCAACAACUAAGAAAAACAAAGCUGUUUUUGUUUAAUACAAAUAUCAGUGCGGCUCUUCACUAUGGUAUUAGGGCCAAGUUAUGAUCUAAAUCUGGCUAGGUUUGAAUUAAGCUAUAUCUACAAGAAAACAAACAAAUAUUGAUACGAAACUGAAUAUUUACUAAAGUAAAAUGUUUAGUUUAGUUUACUUUCUUUGUUUAUUUUUUUGUGUAGGCUAUGCUUCUUUAUAUGGCCUGUGAACUUUGGUGGCCUAAGUUAGGCCCAAAAUUUUCUCAAGUACCAUAAUGAUAAUCUCUUCACAGGAAGAUGUGUGUUGUGUUAUACGAAGUUAUACGGGACGCCGGUAUGUCAAACAAAAACGGAAUUGGUUCUUUUCAGACUAUUAAGUACACUUGGCGGUGAUGUUGAUUUUUUUUUUUUUUCAUUCCAAAUAAAGUUCACAUUUUAAUACAACAACUGGCGGAUAAAAGGUAGUCCCCAGACACUAGAGCCCACAUGAUGGCGGCGACUUAAACCCACUCCGGGGUACCUUACUGCAAUACAACAACUGAGUAAAACCAGAAGAAAAACUAGAUACUCAACUUUCAACUACCUAAAGGACGUAACAAGUUGACUUAGCAAAAUUUAGAACUAAGAAUAGGUCAGUGAACGAGAAUUGUUUAUCGCUGCUGCCAAUAGCUCGCCACACGAGAAACUCCACUUCCUACACCCCAACACCACGACUUACCGCUGCUGCUCAUGCCCGCCAUACGAUAACGCCCAAGAAACCAAGACUCUACGACUUCAUAAUCCGACAGAACGAACCUCUACCCGGUUCACACAAUCUUCGGAUACGGAUGUGACGCUUUUAGCGCCCACUAACUCCUAGAUAGAAGCCCAAACAAACUCCAUAAAGAUGAAGCCUUGCCAAUCGAAAAUUCCAACCGAAAAGGCAAGCGACCACUGUAACCUCCUCCAUUUGAAAUAAACCUGCUAAGUCAACUCUCACAAAACCUUACUUAAACACCACUUUUUUGGUUAACGGGACGCCAAAAGUCAAUAAACGUCAACGGACUGAAACCGGAAGGCAAGGGAUCCAAGGAUACCACUGCUCCAAACACCAUAGACGAACUAAAACGUCAUCAGCUCUGCUUACCCGUCACAGAAACAACCGGACUGUUCAUCAGACUCAUCCCACUCAUGAAGAUCACUACACGAGAGAUCCAGAAAAUUGAAAAAUGAAAGCUCUCAAGACCCAUAAACUUCGACUCCCCUCAGCAGAGACUGCUACAAUCUGUCGCGUCGCACCUCCAGCCAUGGCUGACGCAUCUCCGGUCCGAACAACCUUGAGGGCAGAUCUAUCCAUAAACGAGACCCCACACCAGAGAAAACGAACAAGACGACGAGAGAACAGAUCUGUCGGGGAAGCAAACUAGAAAGCAAAAAGUAAGAUGGAAGGUGCCUCCGGCGUCGGCACGCGCCGUCACGCGCCACCGGACGCCGGGGUUAAUUCAAUCGCGUUUUGUAAGCUCUUCUCUCUCGCGAGUCAAGAAAUCCAACCUUAUAAUUAGUUAGUUAUGGCGGUGAUGUUGAUAACCAACAACAAAUG